rnacentral:lncRNA from 1 species
UCCACUAUGGAUAAAGGAAAACUUCCUAUGGAAAUUGUACCAUCAUCACCAGGCUCACCUAUAACCAGCUAUCCACCUUUGUCACCAAUUAGAUCAAUACAAAAUUAUCCUGACUAUUCCAGUCAAAUUCCAACAAGUCCAAACCCAAGAUUCAUAACCUCUCCUGUCCCAAAUAAAGUAUCAAACUCUAGAAAAUAUGUUUUUGAGGAAACUUCUUUCCUCAUUGAUAUCAUUAUCGAUGAUAAAUAUAUAAAGACCGACCCAAAUAAGCUAGCCUCCCUAUAC